GCGCUCACUUCGGGGCCCACAUAUAGUGGAAGUGGAACGAGACAGAGAUUAGCAUGGCCCCCGUGUGAGGAUGACACAAACUCAAGAAGUGUUCCCUACUUUC
ensembl:snRNA U6 U6 spliceosomal RNA